UUUGUAUUUCCCUGCCCUCACCGGCCUUACAUACUCUCUCUUCUCUUCUCUCCUCUGUUCUGUGCAGAAGAGGGAGAAUCUACACCAAACAUCCUUUCUAUUUCUUCAAAAUCAAUCUUUUUAUUCUCUUUAACAACAUAUAAUUACUAUUUUUUUCUUUUCUUUAAUAGAUAUUCUAUAUAGGAGUCAAUCUUGAUUCAGCAGGUAUUAUUGUAGCUGAAUCUUAGUUUGGUUGGACGGUGGAGAUUUUAUCUGGGAGUGAAAGAUCGAGGUAUGCAGCAAGGUGAUCCGGCGGUGUUGAGCUUGAGACCUGGUGGUGGUCGAGGGAGCAGACUCUUCAAUCCUCGCUUAGAGUCCUCCUCUUCUUCUUCUCUUUCUUCGUCUUCUAUCGCUUUUGGUGAUCUCCCUCUCUUGCGUCCUCACGGUGGUGCUCCGCCUCCAAAGACCGGAGACUCACGAUUUGAGAUUCGUGACCGUGUGCGGUACACGAGAGACCAGCUGCUGCAACUCAGAGAGAUUAAACAUCUUGGUGAUUAAAACACACAGCAUUCAUGCUUUGAGUAGUAUUUUUCCAGAGAUUCAUGUAAGUUCUGCUUUCUUUAUGGUUUGUGCAUUUCCUCAUUUUAUGUUAUGGCUAUUAUUUUCUCAAAGGCUGUUGUGAUCUCUGAUGAGAUCUUAAAAAUCAAACGAGAAAUUGAAGAUGAGCUUUUUGGUGAAGAUCAAAGCUGGAGUCAUGGAGAAAUCAAUAUGCCAAAUCAGUCUCUAAGUCGUUAUUCAGAGCCAGACAAUCGUGACUGGCGUGGUCGUUCUGCACAAUUUUCUACUUCUGGAGAGGAGAGGUCCUGGGAUUCUCUUCGAGAAAACAGGGACUUGGGUGGGCGAUAUGACUCCAGACAGCCAGAUGCAAAUCAAUUUAAUCGUCAGGACCAACUCAAUUCUCAAUUUGCAAUAGCACAAAUCUCGUCUAAUCAAUUGGUAAAAUAUAUGAUCAUUUUGGUUGCUACAUGUUUAUGGUUUUGUUCAUGUGUUGUCUUUUGAAACUAUUAUUUACGCAUCUAAAAUUUAUAUUUUUGCUGAGACAAUAAAAUUUUUAGUUCAUAUGGAUUGUAAUGGUUUGCUAAAUGAAAAGCAUCUUUCCAAGACGCAUGCUCUGAUAUACUAAUGAUGGGAAUUUAAAAGUUAAGGUCCCCUUGUGAUGCCAUUUUUUGUUACUUUUCCCUUUUGUUAUUGUUUGGGUUUGCUAUAGCUGUAAGAUUGAAAUUGUUCUAAUAAGUGGCAUGCUAUAUUCAGAUACAAGUGAGGUUAACAAAUUCUGCAAUUUUAAUAUGUUGCUGUAACUUUUUUCUUAUGAGUUAUAGCAUGAGAAAUUAAAUUUAGAUAUGCUAGUCUUGAACUAUUUCAUCUUGAAAGAAAUAGUUCUAUGAUAUAAGUUCCUCUUGCUUGUUUUUGAACUUUUAAUUUUAAGAAUGGUGUGCAAAAAAUAUAUAGAAGCACAGCCUUUUUACUUUAUCUUGGUUUUAUACCUCUUCCAAUUAAUAAUUUUUUUUUGGGCAUAAAAAGUUGUGAAUGUGUCCAUGGGCAUAGGAUAACAAUGACUUCUUGUUUGAUUUGAAAAAAAAGGGAGCUUAAAUAUUAGAGUAGUUGGUUCCUGAUAUUACAUUAUAUCCCUGUUUCUCUUCUUUGUUGGUAACCCUACUUCAAUUAUAAUGCAUGUUGAAUGUGUUAUUGUUGUUGUCAUUAUUAUUAUUGGUGCAAACUUGCACCUUUAAGGGCAUGUAAAUUGGCUUUGGAUCAAAAGCCGUAUUUUAUUUUGAAACCAGGGAGGUCCUGCUCCAGCUUUAGUCAAGGCUGAGGUUCCAUGGUCGGCUAGAAGGGGGAAUCUUUCUGAGAAGGAACGAGUCUUGAAGACUGUUAAAGGUAUAUUGAACAAGCUUACCCCUGAGAAAUUUGAUCUUCUCAAGGGUCAACUCAUUGACUCUGGCAUUACAUCGGCCGAUAUCUUAGAGGGUGUGAUACAGCUUCUGUUUGAGAAGUCUGUUCUGGAGCCCACAUUUUGUCCCAUGUAUGCUCAGCUGUGCUCUGAUCUAAAUGAAAAGCUUCCCCCAUUCCCAUCAGAUGAACCAGGUGGGAAAGAAAUCACAUUCAAGCGAGUUCUCCUGAAUAUCUGCCAGGAGGCAUUUGAGGGUGCUGAUAAACAGUGGCAGGAAGUUUGGCAGAUGACAGCUCCAGAGCAAGAGCUUGAACGCAGGGAUAAAGAAAGAUUGGUCAAGCUUCGUACACUUGGAAACAUCCGUUUGAUCGGAGAGCUCCUGAAGCAAAAGAUGGUUACUGAGAAGAUAGUUCAUCACAUUGUUAAGGAGCUUCUGGGACCAGACACCAAAAUUUGUCCUGCCGAAGAAAAUGUUGAGGCCAUAUGUCAGUUUUUUAACACUAUUGGGAAGCAACUUGAUGAGAAUACGAAGUCGCAACGUAUAAAUGAUAUAUACUUCCUUCGUUUGAAGGACUUGUCAUCAAACCCUCGUCUGGCUCCUCGACUAAGGUUCAUGAUUCGUGAUGUUCUUGAACUGCGGGCAAAUAACUGGAUUCCUAGACGUGAAG
rnacentral:misc_RNA from 1 species